GGAGCGGUGGCCGAGUGGUUGAAGGCAGCGGUCUUGAAAACCGCAGGCCGCAAGGCCCGGGGGUUCGAAUCCCUCCCGCUCCGCCA
rnacentral:tRNA from 1 species